rnacentral:rRNA from 1 species
UGGGGAAUUUUCCGCAAUGGGCGAAAGCCUGACGGAGCAAUGCCGCGUGGAGGUGGAAGGCCUACGGGUCGUCAACUCCUUUUCUCGGAGAAGAAACAAUGACGGUAUCUGAGGAAUAAGCAUCGGCUAACUCUGUGCCA